rnacentral:lncRNA from 1 species
GUAUCGUCUUGGUACCUGUUUUGACGCGGACCAGAAAUGACGCACCAAUUAAGUUUUGGGUUUUAUAUUUCUAAACAAAAGCUGUGACGUCAUCGAUAAUUACUAUUCAUAACAUGAUGGUGAAGGUCAUAUGACUACAACAUAGAUGCCUCAAACUCUGUCCAGAAAUGUUAGUAUUGCUUGAAUUAGUAAAGAUAAUGCAAUUUCCGCCAUUUUAUUAAGGUCAAAAACAGUCUACCCUUCCCAGAAUGAUUAUCAGUCCUAAAUCCACUUUGGCCGGCA